CGUCCCGCCGCCCAACAUGGCUCCCGAGCCGCCGCCGUCUCCGCCGCUGCGGUCGGCGGUGCUCAGACGCGCCGCCGGCGCUUCCCUUCGCACACCGGCGACCAACGUCAGACCGAAGCGGAGGCACCGGUAAGGUGGGGCGCACCGGGGCACGGCCUCCGCUCACCUCCCCGGUGUCCUCCUCCAUGCCUUCGCCGAAAAGCCACGUACGGCCAUUUGACAAAGAGGGGCUGGAGCCCGGGCGGCGGCGCCGGCGGCGGCGGCGGCAGCAGCAGCAGCAGCAGCGGAACCAUGAACAGGGAUUACUCCGUUAAUCUGUCCGUGCAGCAGGUGCUGAGCCUAUGGGUGCAGGGCGCGGUGCCGAGGCUGCAACACUUCGCAGAGGCAGACCUCGGUCCGGCCUCUCCGUACCUAUACGGUGAAGGCAGCUGUGCUGCUGCACUCUACCUCUCCCGUGGGUGCCACGGUCACCCACCGCCCUCCGUUUAUUCGUCUAUUUUAAGGGAGCCGAGAGGUCCCAGAGGUGCCGGGGAGAUGUGGCACCCUGCCUGCGGCCCGGCGGUGACGCCAGUAGGCCGUCUGGCCGCUGCCUGCUUCGCCGGCGCACUAGUGAGCUCCAGUGCGGUGGCCCGGGUCUCCGCUGCCACGCCACGCUGGUGACACCGCAGGUUGGAGAUACGAAGGGGGUGGGGGGGGGAUCUGCGAGGCUUUCGUCCCUCUGCUGAUUCGAAAGACACAGAUGCCUUUGUUCCCGGCUGCCCCCGAGUGGAUAAUGUGGCCACAUCUCAGAUUAUGCUUUAUGCAAUCGUCCAGGCAUCUGGUGUGUGCACAAGGGACUAUAAAAAAAAAAAUGCUAAUGCUGCUGAUCGUGCAAAAGCUCCGCCUCGCCCCAUACAGUUAGUAAAGGGCAGAGUUACGGCAGGAAGUGGGGGGCACGUUUGCAACUUUCUCCCGUCGUCAGUAUGCACAUCAUUACGCUCCGUAAAAUGGAGCGUUUUUGGCAAAUCGCGGCUUGCGUUGUUGCACAUCUCGGGUACUGGUGUGAGUCUUCGAGGACGGUAGACUGGAAUCUCAAGCAGGUUUGAAGGUGAAUGCAGAAGGCAGGACGUCCGGCGGCGAAUUCCUGCCGAUGGAUGAUGGAUUUCACACUCAAAACUGCCAAACUCGCAGGAAAAGCGUGAACUUUGCGGCACCUGCUGUCUCUUGUGCAUCAUCCGCAAUCAAUGGCCUGACUGGCAAGAUCAGAGAUCAGCACAUGUCUGUUGCUUUAUGGUCCAGACCAUUGUACUGAAUCGUGUGUAUGUGUGUGUGUGUGUGUGUAGAUUUUGAAAGCUGCCACGACAAUAUGAGAUUCAGACGUUAAUUAUGUCCCUGACAGAAGUGGUUGGGGGGGAACAGUUCCUGCGUGGCAUUUCUUCUCCUGAGCUGUGUGAAGCUGGCCUUGAGGCGUGGCCCGCCAGAGACUUGGCAGGCCCUCGUGCCAACACCACUCUCGGCACCCGCUGCCGUGAAAAAAUAAAUAAAUGAAAAAAUCCUCUCGCUGGCUUUGA
rnacentral:lncRNA from 1 species